rnacentral:rRNA from 1 species
AUUGAACGCUGGCGGCAGGCUUAACACAUGCAAGUCGAGCGAGCGGCGGACGGGUGAGUAAUGUCUGGGAAACUGCCUGAUGGAGGGGGAUGACGACUGGAAACGGUAGCUAAUACCGCAUACCAUCAGAUGUGCCCAGAUGGGAUGGGCUAGUAGGUGGGGUAAUGGCUCACCUAGGCGACGAUCCCUAGCUGGUCUGAGAGGCUGACCAGCGACACUGGAACUUAGACACGGUCCAGACUCCUGCGGGAGGCAGCAGUGGGGAAUAUUGGAUAAUGGGCGCAAGCCUGAUGCAGCCAUGCGGCGUGUGUGAAGAAGGCCUUCGGGUUGUAAAGCACUUUCAGCGAGGAGGCGUUACUCGCAGAAGAAGCACCGGCUAACUCCGUGCCAGCAGCCGCGGUAAUAC